AGUGAACGCUGGCGGUAGGCCUAACACAUGCAAGUCGAACGGCAGCACAGUAAGAGCUUGCUCUUACGGGUGGCGAGUGGCGGACGGGUGAGGAAUACAUCGGAAUCUACUUUUUCGUGGGGGAUAACGUAGGGAAACUUACGCUAAUACCGCAUACGACCUACGGGUGAAAGCAGGGGAUCUUCGGACCUUGCGCGAUUGAAUGAGCCGAUGUCGGAUUAGCUAGUUGGCGGGGUAAAGGCCCACCAAGGCGACGAUCCGUAGCUGGUGUGGGAGGAUGAUCAGCCACACUGGAACUGAGACACGGUCCAGACUCCUACGGGAGGCAGCAGUGGGGAAUAUUGGACAAUGGGCGCAAGCCUUAUCCAGCCAUACCGCGUGGGUGAAGAAGGCCUUCGGGUUGUGAAGCCCGUUUGUUGGGAAAGAAAAGCAGCAGGUUAAUACCCCGCUGUUCUGACGGUACCCAAAGAAUAAGCACCGGCUAACUUCGUG
rnacentral:rRNA from 1 species